AAAAAAACACUUGACAAGUCGACAGCGACAGAUGACCUGCUAUUUCAAUAAUAUAUAACCUAAAAUUUUAAAUUACAGUAAAAUGAAGUUUUUGUUUAAUAUAAACAUAACUUUGUUCUGCUUGGUAUUACAUUACAUAUUACAUUAAUACUUGACAUUGGCAUAAUUAUCGUAUAAACGAUACAGCCAAAUAAAAUAAAUUGGAUUGAAUUGGAAUUUAUUGUGUUACAACUUACAGAAACAGAAAAUCUACAGACCCUAGUACUUACUGCUUUCAAAACAUUAAACAUGGUAUCUGAGAUGAAAUUCAUUAUAUCAGAAAACGAAAAAGUAAUCCAUACUAUAACUAAAGAAACAAAUUCACAGACUCUAGUAAAAACAUUGGAAGAGUUUCAACAUGCAGUGAACACAAAACUAACCAAGAUGAUUGAGGAACUUGGUGGUACUGUAGGUGAUGAAGACAUGGAAAGUGAAAGUGAAGAUUGUGAUGAUGACGAGAAUGAAGACAUAUCAAUAUUACCCAAAAAAA